rnacentral:rRNA from 1 species
CAUUCAUAUCACAUUGAAACACCGGUUCACGUACGAUCACCGAAAUUAAGCAACAUAAAGUCUGGUCAGUACCUAGAUGGGUAACCGUUUGGGACUACCAGGUGCUGUAAG